rnacentral:rRNA from 2 species
CCCUAAAGUGGGGGAUAACAUUUGGAAACAGAUGCUAAUACCGCAUAAAACCUAACACCGCAUGGUGUAGGGUUGAAAGAUGGUUUCGGCUAUCACUUUAGGAUGGACCCGCGGUGCAUUAGUUAGUUGGUGAGGUAAAGGCUCACCAAGACCGUGAUGCAUAGCCGACCUGAGAGGGUAAUCGGCCACACUGGGACUGAGACACGGCCCAGACUCCUACGGGAGGCAGCAGUAGGGAAUCUUCCACAAUGGACGAAAGUCUGAUGGAGCAACGCCGCGUGAGUGAAGAAGGUUUUCGGAUCGUAAAACUCUGUUGUUGGAGAAGAAUGUAUCUGAUAGUAACUGAUCAGGUAGUGACGGUAUCCAACCAGAAAGCCACGGCUAACUACGUGCCAGCAGCCGCGGUAAUACGUAGGUGGCAAGCGUUGUCCGGAUUUAUUGGGCGUAAAGCGAGCGCAGGCGGUUUCUUAAGUCUGAUGUGAAAGCCUUCGGCUCAACCGAAGAAGUGCAUCGGAAACUGGGAAACUUGAGUGCAGAAGAGGACAGUGGAACUCCAUGUGUAGCGGUGAAAUGCGUAGAUAUAUGGAAGAACACCAGUGGCGAAGGCGGCUGUCUGGUCUGUAACUGACGCUGAGGCUCGAAAGCAUGGGUAGCAAACAGGAUUAGAUACCCUGGUAGUCCAUGCCGUAAACGAUGAGUGCUAGGUGUUGGAGGGUUUCCGCCCUUCAGUGCCGCAGCUAACGCAUUAAGCACUCCGCCUGGGGAGUACGACCGCAAGGUUGAAACUCAAAGGAAUUGACGGGGGCCCGCACAAGCGGUGGAGCAUGUGGUUUAAUUCGAAGCAACGCGAAGAACCUUACCAGGUCUUGACAUCCUUUGACCACUCUAGAGAUAGAGCUUUCCCUUCGGGGACAAAGUGACAGGUGGUGCAUGGUUGUCGUCAGCUCGUGUCGUGAGAUGUUGGGUUAAGUCCCGCAACGAGCGCAACCCUUAUUACUAGUUGCCAGCAUUUAGUUGGGCACUCUAGUGAGACUGCCGGUGACAAACCGGAGGAAGGUGGGGACGACGUCAAAUCAUCAUGCCCCUUAUGACCUGGGCUACACACGUGCUACAAUGGAUGGUACAACGAGUUGCGAGACCGCGAGGUUUAGCUAAUCUCUUAAAACCAUUCUCAGUUCGGAUUGUAGGCUGCAACUCGCCUACAUGAAGCCGGAAUCGCUAGUAAUCGCGGAUCAGCAUGCCGCGGUGAAUACGUUCCCG